UGGAGACAUUGCCUGCUCUUUCGGUUACAGCCUACUGUUCCCCUCCUUGCCACUGAGCCCCAUGAGCUCUGCCCAGCUAGUUGCCUGUCAGUUGCCUAGAGUCCAUGAACAUUCCGCUCCAGGGAGUUACAUUGGGGCAGUUUGGAGGAGUAGCCCCCAUUUGGGUUCUUUUCCUUCAGAUUUUGGUGAGAUGUAUCUGCUGGUUAUCCUGAAUCCACCUUGCCACAGGUGUUCCAGUUAUGCCUCCAUGAGGAGCAUUCCAUCUCUUUCCGAAACAGAUAUGCAAUGCUGCUACUGCUACUGCUGAAACGAUAUUUCUAUGCCCCACAGGGCUCAUCGAAGCUUGAGAAGCAAUUUUAGAUCAAGAAAAGGGAACUAGGGAAAAGAACCAAGAGUCAUUGCUUUAGAGAUUGAGCUCCCGUGAUGUGUCGCAAGGAGGCGCUUUGACGAUCCGAUGUCCUGGGCCAAACGCGUUUCGACCGACACCGUCUUCGUCAACUGGCGUUAAAUCAUGUGCUGCUGCACACCGAGGUGACGCUUCCAAGGAGACGCUCCCACCACCCGUACUCCCUGUUCUUCACCAAGUGGCUCAGACUUUGCCACUGGAGAAACCAGAAUCUUCACUCAUGCUUGGAAGGAGCUGCUGUCCUUUUCCAGGAGGGCAAGACGGCCCCCGAGACAGCCAUCCGAGCAGCUCUUGGAGACCCAUCGGACCCUCGGAGCCCUUCUCCCCACCCUCCUUGCAAAACUUGCAUGAGGAGAGAAGAGGCUGAUGGCGACCUUCUCUCCUCCCCGCCCCCUGGGCCACUUCCACAUCCUGCAAAGGUCCCUUUGGAAAGGGGGCUGCCCCCACCAGGGGUGUGGGGCAAAACAGUGUUUGUCUCUGGCACCAGCUCAAGGCCUUGGCUGCCCUUUUUGCAAAUCACGGUUGUUGUUGCUGCUCUUGUGGGAGGCCGCAGGG